UCAGGAUGAACGCUGGCGGCGUGCUUAACACAUGCAAGUCGAACGGGAAACUUUUCAUUGAAGCUUCGGCAGAUUUGGUCUGUUUCUAGUGGCGGACGGGUGAGUAACGCGUGGGUAACCUGCCUUAUACAGGGGGAUAACAACCAGAAAUGGUUGCUAAUACCGCAUAAGCGCACAGGACCGCAUGGUCCGGUGUGAAAAACUCCGGUGGUAUAAGAUGGACCCGCGUUGGAUUAGCUAGUUGGCAGGGUAACGGCCUACCAAGGCGACGAUCCAUAGCCGGCCUGAGAGGGUGAACGGCCACAUUGGGACUGAGACACGGCCCAGACUCCUACGGGAGGCAGCAGUGGGGAAUAUUGCACAAUGGGGGAAACCCUGAUGCAGCGACGCCGCGUGAAGGAAGAAGUAUCUCGGUAUGUAAACUUCUAUCAGCAGGGAAGAUAGUGACGGUACCUGACUAAGAAGCCCCGGCUAACUACGUGCCAGCAGCCGCGGUAAUACGUAGGGGGCAAGCGUUAUCCGGAUUUACUGGGUGUAAAGGGAGCGUAGACGGACUGGCAAGUCUGAUGUGAAAGGCGGGGGCUCAACCCCUGGACUGCAUUGGAAACUGUUAGUCUUGAGUGCCGGAGAGGUAAGCGGAAUUCCUAGUGUAGCGGUGAAAUGCGUAGAUAUUAGGAGGAACACCAGUGGCGAAGGCGGCUUACUGGACG
rnacentral:rRNA from 1 species